CUGAUGAGCACACCGCGUGAGUGAGAGGGUUUCGGCUCGUAAGCUCUGUUGUUGGAGAAGAACGUGCGUGAGAGUAACUGUUCACGCAGUGACGGUAUCCAACCAGAAAGUCACGGCUAACUACGUGCCAGCAGCCGCGGUAAUACGUAGGUGGCAAGCGUUAUCCGGAUUUAUUGGGCGUAAAGCGAGCGCAGGCGGUUGCUUAGGUCUGAUGUGAAAGCCUUCGGCUUAACCGAAGAAGUGCAUCGGAAACCGGGCGACUUGAGUGCAGAAGAGGACAGUGGAACUCCAUGUGUAGCGGUGGAAUGCGUAGAUAUAUGGAAGAACAUCAGUGGCGAAGGCGGCUGUCUGGUCUGCAACUGACGCUGAGGCUCGAAAGCAUGGGUAGCGAACA
rnacentral:rRNA from 1 species